UUUUUGUUAACUCCUUUAUUGUAACAUAACCACUAGUAGUUUUGUGCUUAAUGUUGAUCUUCUUUGUCUAUUGAUUUAAGUUAAUAUCAGAGUCCUUCCUAGCAGUCAUGGGGUUUUGAUAACAGAAGCUAACAUAGUUGUAUCUUCUCUUUCCUGCAGGGUAGCCCGAAUGCCAUGUCUUCACAUUUUAUUCCACUUGGAUCUCCUGUAGAAUGGCUGUUUACCAUGGAAGGGCUGAUUCCAAUUCUCACGUUAAUCACUUACAAGGCAGAAACCAGCUAGUCUAGACUGGUAAAGGGCUUUCCAGUUCAUUCAUCAGCCUCCUCUGAUUCUCUCAGGGCUCAUUCAGAUGUUCCCAAUCCUUUCACAAGAUUACAAUUCAACACAUAUGGAAGCACAAAAAAAAAUGCUGAUUUCCCCACAUAAAUAAUAAUUAAUUACUAAUGAAGAUAAUGGUGACAGACUAUGGGACUUAAGAAAAAACCUACGAGGAUGUAUCACAAGACAAAUCCUUCUAAAAAUUAAACUAUUUGCAGACAAUCAGAAAGUCAAAACUAACAAUCUCUUAAACAUUUCUCAGAUAUGGCUGUAAUAACAUAGCAUUCCUAUAAAAAUGAACUUUUAGGUUAAAUAUAUCUUUACACAUACAUGCACUUGCACCCACAUGUACACACAAUCUAUUUUUGGAUCUACUGAAUAAAGCAUCAUUAUUUAAAGUGAAG
rnacentral:lncRNA from 1 species